GCUGGUGUUGCUAAGUGAUUAGAGCAUCGGGCCCAUGCCCCGAAGGGGCACAGGUUUGAUUCCUGGUCAAGGGCA
rnacentral:tRNA from 1 species